ACAAACUUGGUCAUUUAGAGGAAGUAAAAGUCGUAACAAGGUAACCGUAGGUGAACCUGCGGUUGGAUCAUUAAUAUAAAACUUUUAUGAUUGCCAGGCUUUAGAGCCUGGCUAAUCAUUUUACCCCAACUUGUGCACUGUUUUUUUGUAACUUUUGGGUUGAGGUAUUCUGCCUUGACCCAAGUUUAUAUUUAAGCCAAUUUUAUUUUGUCUUUAUAUAUUUUUUUAAAGAAAUUAAAAAAACAACUUUUGACAACGGAUCUCUAGGCUCUCGCAUCGAUGAAGAACGCAGC
rnacentral:misc_RNA from 1 species